AUUGAACGCUGGCGGCAGGCCUAACACAUGCAAGUCGAGCGAGUGGCGGACGGGUGAGUAAUGUCUGGGAAAAUGCCUGAUGGAGGGGGAUAACUACUAGAAACGGUAGCUAAUACCGCAUACCAUCGGAUGUGCCCAUAUGGGAUUAGCUAGUAGGUGGGGUAAAGGCUCACCUAGGCGACGAUCCCUAGCUGGUGUGAGAGGAUGACCAGCCACACUGGAACUGAGACACGGUCCAGACUCCUAAGGGAGGCAGCAGUGGGGAAGAGUGCACACUGGGCGCAAGCAUGAUGCAGCCAUGCCUCGUGUAUGAAGAAGGCCUUCGGGUUGUAAAGUAAUUUCAGCGGGGAGGCGUUACCCGCAGAAGAAGCACCGGCUAACUCCGGGCCAGCAGACGCGGUAAUUC
rnacentral:rRNA from 1 species